rnacentral:pre_miRNA from 1 species
GUGAGUUUGUUGUAUUGUGGUCCAUGGCUGUCACUUAUAUACUACAACUCAA